ensembl:misc_RNA Y_RNA Y RNA
GGUUGGUUUGAAGGUAGUGAGUUAUCUCAACUGAUGGUUUGCAUUCACUUAUAGACCAACUCCUUGUUUUACUCUUCUCCCCUCCCCUUCCCCCCCACCCCCACAGCUUCUCACUACUGCGCUUGACUCUAAA